CUCUGUCAAAUAAAACUUGAAAAGGCCAAAAUCUUAAAAAAAGAGGAAGGAAAGUAAAUGGAGAAGUAGAGAAGAAAGGUAGAAAGCAGUGGGAAACAGAGAGGAAGAGAAUAAAAGGAGGCAGAUGAGGAAACAAAGACGUAAGAAGCAGGGAAAUCUAAGAAACAUUAAAGGAAAAAAGGAGGCAGGAAUGUUCAGGAGAAAUUAGGAAAGGAAGAAGAGAGUGAAGAAGAAGAAG